UGGCUCAAUGGUAGAGCGUUCGACUCAAAUACCAAAUGUCGUGGGUUUGCAUCCCAU
rnacentral:tRNA from 1 species